AUUGAACGCUAGCGGGAUGCUUUACACAUGCAAGUCGAACGGCAGCGCGGACUUCGGUCUGGCGGCGAGUGGCGAACGGGUGAGUAAUGUAUCGGAACGUGCCCAGUAGCGGGGGAUAACUACGCGAAAGCGUAGCUAAUACCGCAUACGCCCUACGGGGGAAAGCAGGGGAUCGUAAGACCUUGCACUAUUGGAGCGGCCGAUAUCGGAUUAGCUAGUUGGUGAGGUAACGGCUCACCAAGGCGACGAUCCGGAGCUGGUUUGAGAGGAAGACCAGCCACACUGGGACUGAGACCCGGCCCAGACUCCUACGGGAGGCAGCAGUGGGGUAUUUUGGACAAUGGGGGCAACCCUGAUCCAGCCAUCCCGCCUGUGCGGUGAACGCCUUCGGGUUUUAAAGCACUUUUGGCGGGAAAGACACGUCGCGGGCUAAUACCCCGUGUAACUGACGGUACCUGCAGAAUAAGCACCGGCUAACUACGUG
rnacentral:rRNA from 1 species